UUCCCGUUAAGUGUCAAAUAACGGGUUAUGUGAAAUAUUAAAAUUGGGAAAAGGGAGGAAUGGAAUUGUUGGCAGAGAGUUCUCUAAAAUAUCUUGAGGCUUAACUCAGAGACACUUGUCAGAAAACAUAUUCUGCUUUGGAGAAGCUAUGUUGAUGAUUUUUUCGUCUUUCUGGGGGGGCCAAUCUGACCUCAAUUCAUUAACACACUACAUCCUAGAAUUGCUUCACUGUUGAGACACAAGCGAAUGGCACCCUUCCGUUUUUGGACUUGAGAGAAUCAGAAGAUACUAUCAAAUUCUCUAUCUACAGGAAGCCAACAACAACUGAUCAUGUGAUCCUUUUCUCAUCGAAUCAUCCACUCCAGUGCAAGCUUGUCGCCUUCCGUUCCUUCUGUAGACUAUUGACAACUCCGUUGUCCGCUGAGGACUACGAAACAGAAUACAACAUUAUACUUCAUACUGCAGAUAGCACACAACAAUGGCUUCCCUAUAGACUUGGUCCAAAACACUUUUCACAAGAUUUCCACAAGGUCAUGAUUAGAUAUAACACACAAUUAACCCCUAUAACAAAUGAGAACUUUACUUAGCAGUAUCAAUUAUAUUCCUAAGGUUUCUGAGAGAAUACAAAAUACCUGGAGCAGUUCAAUAUUCAGAUAUCUUUCAAAGAUGAUAACUCUCUUAACUUGAUCUUCACCAGGGGUAAAGAUCCGAUCGAGAAAAUGGGAGUCUAACAGCUAGAUUGUUCAUGUGGAAGUUUAUAAAUAGGCCGAUCCUUCAGAAGCAUUGAAACAAGGAUCGAUGAAUACUUUAGAGCCAUCAGGACCAACAAUCCCAACAAUUCUACUCUCGCAGAACACAUCCUCUCGAAUUCCGGCCACAUUCCUUUGGUAGAGCCACGCAUUCUGUCUCUUCCUUACCACAGAGGUUCAUGUGACUCAUUGGAGAAAAUACAUAAAACAAAGGCAAAACACAACACCCCAAGUAAACUUCUGAAUACCCAGCAGGAUAUCCCUGGACUUCUAAUUUACCCGCACUUGCUCAGCUUUCUCCCAUGAUGAUAACUCAAUUCCUCCCUUUUUCCAAUUUUCAUAUUUCACAUAACCCGUUGUUUGACAUUUAACGGGAACUCAGUCAUUUCUGUGCUUUCUGUUGUUUCUGUACUUCUUUCUGCUCGGCCUGUCUAUCUUCUUUGAUUCCUUAUAAUUGACAUAUUUAUAUUUGCCCUUUCUUGACAAAUAAUUCUGAUUUAAAAUUUUCAACAUAUACCUGAAGGUGAACCUAUUUUUGUGAGGGUCGAAACAUUUGUCGCUAUUUUAAUAAAGAAAAUCUGGAGCAGACAUGAAAACUUCUUUUCCAUUAUCAAACACCUCCAAUGAAUAAGAUGGAUAACAGAUUUGAGAAUUAUAAUGAUACCCAAACCGGGCAAACCCAAAUAACUACCGACCAAUAAGCCUACUCUCAAGUAUGAGCAAGUUGGCGGAAAAAAUUAUACUAGUAAGACUGAAGAAAAUUGUUGACGAAAAGGAAAUAAUCCUAAAAAUUCAGCACGGCUUUAGAAAGGGUACCGCAACCCAACUUGCCAGAAUAAUGGAAACAAUCCUGCAAGAAAAACAAAGAGGAUAUAAAACAGCAGUAGUAUUGAUGGAUAUAUCGAAAGCAUAUCAUGA